GACGAACGCUGGCGGUGUGCUUAACACAUGCAAGUCGAACGGUAAGGCCCUUUCGGGGGUACACGAGUGGCGAACGGGUGAGUAACACGUGAGUAACCUGCCCUCAUCUCUGGGAUAACAGUCGGAAACGGUUGCUAAUACUGGAUAUGAGCUUGCAAGGCAUCUUGUGGGUUGGAAAGAUUUUUUUUGGUUGGGGAUGGACUCGCGGCCUAUCAGCUUGUUGGUGAGGUAGUGGCUCACCAAGGCUUCGACGGGUAGCCGGCCUGAGAGGGCGACCGGCCACAUUGGGACUGAGAUGCGGCCCAAACUCCUACGGGAGGCAGCAGUGGGGAAUAUUGCACAAUGGACGGAAGUCUGAUGCAGCAACGCCGCGUGCGGGAUGACGGCCCUCGGGUUGUAAACCGCUUUCAAUUGUGACGAAGCUUUUUUGUGACGGUAGCAGUAGAAGAAGCACCGGCUAACUACGUG
rnacentral:rRNA from 1 species